AAUUGUGCCUUGUAAUAAAGUAAUAUAAUUAGCAAUUACUUUGGAAUGACUUUAAUAUACUUAACAGCUACUACGGAAAUGCAUUUAUUCAGGAGGCUUUGUUUUCUUUUGACUUCUGUUAGUACAAAAUAAACUCUUGUCUGAAUGGAGCUCAUACCUGAGUUCCCCAAAUUGUUCCUCAGGGCACACAGAGUGAGCAGGCUUUUUCCACAGCAGAUCUAUAACAGCUGUAGGGCUCUCUGUUAUAGAGGAUGAAACUAAGCUUGCAGGAGGGCAAAAAGGGCAACACAAAGCAUGCAGGUAGUGCGUUGGCUAGGCAUGCAGGCCAGCACUCCACUCUUCUUCUUUUUUUUUUUUUUUUUUCCUUUUUUUUCCCUCCUUUAUUUUUUUUUCCCCAGUACUACUCAGUAGCACCAGGUUUGGUGGUACUCACCCAUGUAUCAUUUCAUAGUGGUUCACGUUCUGCUGGCAACAGAAAUGUGGCACAGGUGGGCAGCUCUGUCUUAAAAAUAAUAGACUUGAACAGAAGGCUGUAUGUGCAUAUUUUCCUUACAAAUAAUUAAUGUUAAUUGGAAAGUUUUCAAAUAAAAAAUGAACUGUACAAAGGAAGCAAAAAGGAGAAGCAGACUAAGCUUUAAAAGGAGCAAUAGGACAGUGAUUGAAUGAAAAUACUGAUAUUCCCUUAAGUUUGGUGGCAGAGAAUAAAUCAGUAAAUUAGCUUACGUGUUGGACACCAGAUUCAUAUAAUUCUGUUACCUCUGCUGAGGAAAAUAGCAGUCCCUAUUCAGAAGUCCCAGUCCACGGUGCAGGAAUAUCAUGUGGUUUGCAUAGGGACAACUAUGUGCUUAUUUUAUUUGUCUGCCAAUGCCAAAGAGCUCAGCUGUAUCCGAAAUCUGUUCCCUUGCUUUGCAUUCUGGUGUCUUCAUCUCUGACAUUGCCUGCUAUUCAGGCAACGCUAUACCAGGCAUGUACAUCACCACAGAUGAAGCAGCUGAUAAAAUGUUGUAGUCUUUUUAGUGCAGCCCAUUUUGAUGUGCUCAGAAGGGCUUACUAGGCACUAGCACGUGGGCUUACCUGGGGAAGCAAUAGUGCUGUCGCUGGAGCACGUCACUGCACUAACCCUGUCCCAUUUUCCUCCAGUUCACUCAUCCCACGGGGAACCAAACCUGACAGCAUCAAGCAAGUGUAGAAAGCAACUCUGUUCCCAACGCUACACUUUUAUUUUCCUCUGCGCUUGCUAGGUCCCUUGAUCCCACAUCCCUCUCUAGUUACUCUAACCAUGGGAAUAAAGCCUGCCCCUGGGAUGGCUGAAGGCUUGUUCUAGGCUGUGGAAGGCAUCAUCAAGCCGUGUCUCUGCACGGUGCAGUUUAAAUCAGCUGUGCAGGGAGCAGAGCAAGGGCAGCAAAUUAUGUAAGAAGAAAAUCUUCAUCCUGGCACAGGCAUAUUCAGGAAAAGAAAUGUAACACAGCUAUCUCAUGUUCUGGUUCCAAAGAGAGACAAUUAGGAAUUUAACCCAGGCGUGGACAAUUCAAUUUCUGCUGCCUGGUUUUUAUAUGGUCCCUGGAAUGUGUUCUGGGGACCUGCUGGAGCCAAGCACACAGUUUGGCUCCAGGAUGUCACAGGAGCAGGGAAGUGGAAAGACACAUGUCCUGGUACCUUCAGCCCCUACUUAACACGUCUACUUUGCUUUCCACAGGUGUAACCCCCAUGAGGACCUCUCAUGGGCGAGGCAGGACCUGCACCAAAUGGAGUAAAUGCACUGACCAAACUUAUGGUCUGACCUAGGUGCUAAAAUGUUCUACUCAGAUAAAAAAAGAGAUCAAAUCACAUGCUGAAUUUGAAGCACCAGUGGCAUUACUAGUAUGAAGAGUCAAGCUUUCUGGUUCACUUGGUUCAGUUUGAUAUGCUUCGCCAUGCUCCCACCCCAUACACAUAAACAGGUAGUGGGAGAUGAAAGGAAAACUGCCAAAUUACAGUGAUCUCACCGCACCUCCUAAUCCUCUAUUAAUUUCUUUCUUUUUCUGGAAGCUUGAGAGAUCUUUGUUGGUGCAAGAGGGAAACCCAUAGAAAUAGUUUGGUGUAUAUAGAACAGAUGGGGAAAGGAUAAUGCCCUAACCACAGAACAGCAUUUAACAUGUCUGGGAUAGUACUGAGUUGUGUAUGUUACUAGAAAAAUACAUGUUGAAGGUGUACUAUCAUUUUAAAAUGCAUAUAUCUCUAAGUAUGGGUAUAGUUGGAUAUAGUAGUUAUUUCUGCAUCUUUGAUUCAGCAUUUCAGAGUUUUGCUGUACACAACACAACCUUGAAGACUGGGUGCGUACAAAUGUAAUUUCUGCCAAUGUUGACAUGAGAAUUUGCUGUUGUUUAUCCUGGCUUUACUAUGCUUAGAUAUUUAUGAGGUCUCUAUGGUAGAACUGUCCAACUUAAAUACCAGGUUGUCACUUGGUAUGUCAGAGCACCAUGGCAUGAUGACCACAGUGCUUUUUGUGGUCACAGUUUAUGUUAGUCAUUUGGUGCACUGGUGUCAUCAGCAUACCACAAAGGUAAAUUAGAUUAAAUUAUUUCUUACUCCAAGUCAUUUUAUAGUAUAGCUGUACAGUAUAAACCAUUUUCCUAAAGUUUCCUAUUCUGGCUAAACUGUGCAGAUAAAUCUCUCUUUGAGUGUUGACAAGAGGUUGGUGUAGAGAUGUCUACACCCCUGUGCUUUCCAGUGAUGUAUUGAAGCCUCUCUGCUCUCUCAUGGUGGUUUUCUUCAGAAUCUUUUAUAAAAGUUAUUUCUUUCAUUUUCUUUCAGUUCCAUUUUGCACCAAUCUGCUUCAUUUCAUGUGGCAACCCUAUCAGAUUGGAGAAGUCAAGCAUUUCUGGAUCACAUCAGAAUUGUAAUGGGAGAGAUACCAAAUAGGACUGAAGCAUGCAGAAAACAAGGAUGAAGAUUCAGCAGUAGCCUGCUUCCCUUCCAGUUGGUCCCACAGCAUUGCCCUUCUUGGCUGCUUCCUCCAUGACAGGGCUUGGAAUCGAUCAGGGGCACUGAUAAUCCAUUAAGCUGCAUUCAGCACAUCUCUUUUAGAAAGAUGUAGAAAAUGAACUUCUGACCAUAGACAGCGGAGAUGAGAUGGGGAAGACAUGCUGGGAGGAUCAGGUCCAGCUGAGGCACAGUGAGUCCCAAGCAGGGGUUACAAGGAGUGUUCAGCAUAAGGAAGCACAUAAUAGACUGUUUCUCUUGAUGGACCUGCAAGCCACAACACCUUUAAAUAUACAUAUUUUGAAACUUGUUUCAUCACCUCCUGGAACAUAACAGUACAUAAAAACUCUGGAAGGUACCCUUGAAAGUGAGCUUUCACUGUGUGAGUAAAUGGCUCCUAGGAGGUGGGCCAAGACCCCUUAAGAUGUGGGAGCCAGUAAGAAGAAUGCAUUAGUUGUCUUUUUUUUUAUUAUUUGCCAUUUGUAAUAGCAGUACUCCCCAACAGACAGGAGGCUGGAAAGUGCAAGCUCCAGAGCUCACAGAUUCAGUUCUCUGCUCCAGAGCAGCAACACAGGCUGGCAUACGGAGUGAGCCCUUCCUCUUGGGAGAGGUAAAAGAGACUGGACUUCUAGUCCCAGCUUAAGGCAAGGCAUGCCACCUUCUGUGGAAUUAUUUUCCCCAUCUACUAAUAUGUGAAGGGUACUAAAUAUGCUUGUUAAACACUCAAGCAUUUUUUAUCACUGAUCACUGGGGUUUACUUACGUCUUCUAACUUUUAAAUUGCAUGUCACUGGCCGCCAGCUUGGAAGGGGGACUAGCUAAGAGGCACUAGUUGCCCUCCCAUGACCAAGAAUAUCGUCUACCAAAAGGCUAAUCUCCUAUCUCUGUCUCAAAGAAAGCCAUGCAGGAUACCUGUAACAGCCUCACUACAAUUUAAACAACAGCAGUCCCCCCAUCACAGGAGGUGUUGGCUGCAUGGAUGCACUCUUGUUACUUGCCAUUGCUACAGUUAUAGGUGUCACAUACAGAAUUAAAACAUGUGGAAUAUGGCAGAGAGUUGUCUGAGCUUUUCUCUCAACAUUAAAUUUAAAGCCAACAAGCUAUAUAGGAUUAGACUAGCAUUACUACUGUCCAUCCAUGGGUUUUAGAGCCAUAUAGAGCAUUAUCUCCAUCCCUGGAGGUAUUCAAGAAAUGUUUAGAUGUUGUAAUGAGGGACAUGGUUUAAUGGGAAAUAUUGGUGAUAGGUGAAUGGUUGGACUGGAUGAUCUUGGAGGUCUUUUCCAAUCUUGGUGAUGCUAUGAUUCUAUGAUUGUUGCCAUGUUCUUUCAGCAAGGUGCUCUGAGCACAGACCCUGCCCAGCAGCACUGUUCUGGCUGAUCCCUUCCCAACAUUUGCAGCCAGCCUGCUCCCACCCACAGAGGAAAGGGCACUGUCAGCGGUGGGAAAGGGACUGGCUGCUGCCGCCACUCUGUCUGUGACUCGUAGCCUUUAUCCUUAGUGUGCCACAGUGGUUCUUCCUUUCUUUUCUUUCUUCCUUUUUUUUAUUAUUAUUUUUUUAAUUAUUAUUUUUUAAGCCGCAAACAAACACAACCUACAUAAAUGGGGUGUGGACUACGUGGCUCAAGGACUCAGGAUGAUUAAAAGCAGGAGCCAUACAGAGACAUCCAGAAAUGAUUGUUUUUAACAAGACAGGAACUUUGUCUGAAAACAGGAUGACCUGCUACAAAAGACGCCAACAAAUCCCCGUAGAGCUUUAGAAAAAACAAGCAGGCGCCUGAGUGUGCUUAAAAAAAAAAAAAAAAAAAAAAAAAAUCCUGCCUGGUAAUAAAAAGGCAUGUAAGGGUAAACAGGAAAAGAGCACUCCACACUGCAAGCAGCCCGGAGGAGGAAAGGCUGGGAAGAGCGCUGAUCUGAAAACCUGAUAUGGAAACUGAAGAGAACGAUUUCUUCAUAUCCCUGGUACAAACUCCCUCUGCAAACACAAUGCCGGGGCAGCUGUGAACAGCACUUGCCUCCAGGUUUUACUGUGCCUUUCUUCCAGUCCUUUCCAGUGAAGGCUGUGGGACAGCAGCAGACGCUCCACAGGUGGUGUUGGUUUGCUUCAGUGGCUGUAAAGCAACGUCAUUUCAGACUUCCACGAAAGAGUUUUUUUUCUAGUGCAAAAACUUUAUUUCCUGAAGGUGAAAUGACUGCAGUUCAGCCCACCUGUGCUGCAUUUACACAGCUCUCUCCCAGUUUUAGCAUGAAUCUCUUGACAUCUGUUGUGUUUUCCGCUAAGCUUUGGCUCCAUCAGUCUUGCUGAAUUUUAAAAUCAAAUGCCAAUUUGAAGAAUUAGGAUAGUGAUAGACUUCAUCAUGCUGACAACCCCUGCUUGUUGGCAGAAUAUGCAGACUCAGCUCCUAAGCAGUUUUCCCAUCACAGCCUGCAUGUCACCAGCUAGAGACCCAUGACAGCGGCCACCACGGUACAUACUGUGAGCUCCCGUGCAGCAGCUAUCCCCUUCGUUGUGCUCCAAAGCCGAGCACUGCCUCAGCACUGAAAUUACAGCCUGUCACAGCCUGUGUUAACAUGUGGCCAGAAGCAGCUUCUGCAGCAGCCGUACAACCCGCGACUGGAAAAGGUCCAACCCUCAGGCACAGGGCCUGGCCCUGCAUAAAGGCAGACCAGCAGUGUGGCUUCCUGCUGCUGCAUGGUGGCUGUCGGCCCUGAGAUGGCUCCUCCUGAAGAAAGGUCCUGAAGAAAUGCUGCAGUCCCAAAGACUUCCAUGGCCUCACAGAAACCAAUGCGAGUUUCAGAGAAGUUUCUGGAUCUCUUUCCUCAGGAGCAGUCCUGGCAACGUGUCAUGUGCUGCCUUUGUCUCCUGUGGGGCCCUGUGUCCUUUGGUGCGUGGCUGCUAUUGGUGCCAGGAGGUGCCCAUAGAGGCACUGGUGCUCCUGGGAGGGGAGGAAGGCUCAUGUGCAUUAGCUCUUCAGAUGAUGGAAAAGACAUUAAUCUCCUCCCUCUUCUGGGUACUGCCUGAAGACUGAGGAGGAGCUGCUUGUCCUUACCCAUGGCCAGCUGCCCCAGUGCUCCCAGCCUGCUGGUGGCCUCUCAGGAAGAUGGGAUAUGGCUGUGUGGGUCAAGUAUCUCCAUUUAGUGUAGUCCAAGGAAAUGACAGCAGCCUGUACUUUCCCUUUCUGAAGAUGCCAGCAUGUAUCUGACCCAAGGCUCUGUCCCCUGUAGGAGUAAUGCCUUCUGCACAUGGGACCUCUGAGAGUCAUGCUGUGCCAGGACUCUGUGUUCAGUGCCCUGCAGGGCAACCCCUGGCUUAGGGGAGAUCUGUGUUCAAGCUUUCUCAGGUAACCCCAUACUCUGGGCAUGGGUUUCUAUAGUCACUGCUUCAGUAUAAAAUAUGCUUGCAUUUUCUUCUUUCCUUUAGUAGCAGUGAUUCACUACUGUUAAUGUACAUGAUUUCCCAUCUAACGUAUUAUUGAUCAUUUUCCAUGGCCUGCAGCGUCCUUCAGCACUGUACUACUUAACAAUAAUAAUUAUAUAAUCAAUACAAUGAUCGGGAAAUUUCCAAUUUCCAUGAAGUGAAAUUAAAACUAAACAAAUUUUUAUUAUGCUCAAGAUGGAUAGCAAUGCCAGCUGCUUUGUCCAUUGGUUUCCUAAUUAUCAGAGUCUCACAUGCAUGAUCAAUAGCAUGUGACACAAGUAUCUAAAGCAGCAUGCUUUACUUUGCCUAUAUACCUUCCAAACUACCCAUGCAUACAGAACAUAAAACCUCUUUGCUAGUGUGUAUGUGAACAUUUCUAUGGAAGGAUCCUGAGAACUUUGUUCCUACAGGAUGUUUGUGUCUUCUUUGGAUAAGGAAAGACAUAAUUUCACCUGCACUGGUCUAAGAGAACAUAAUCCUAAGUAAACAUUUCAAGGUGGUGAUGACUUUAUUUUAAAAAGAUGGUAAAGUAAGUGCAGAAGAUAUGUAAAUAUAUCACUGGAGGGGAAAAAAAGUAAUUCCUUCUCUGUAAGAAAGGGAUGUCUUAAACUCUUCACUGAACUGAAUGCAAAUAGAGUGAGAUAUCUCAGGUCUCCAAUUCAUCUCACAAAUUGUCAAAGGAAGAGAACAGAAACAGCAUCACUCAAGAUCUAACAUGGAAGAAAAUGUUUCAUUUAUGUUUAAAAAAAUGGAAAGUUCAGGGCAGUUGCUUAUAUUUCUGCAAUGUUUCCCCCCCCCCUCACUUUAUAAUGAAUAAGAAGUAGUAGUUUCUGUUUGUUACUUUUUUUUUUUUAGAAUGGUAGACCCUAUGAGCCUUUUUGUGUAUGUGUUAGUGGACAUUUAACUCUUGUGAAUUAAUCGUUCACCCCAGAUUCUUGUGAAGGAGUCAUGGAUGAUUGAUGCCCGUGGUGCAGGACAACUUAUUCUUUAAUGGGUGAUGAGGUCAUGUGCUAUUUUGGUUCUGCCCAGCGGGAUCUCCAGCUUGGCCAAGCACUGCUCCCUCAGCAGCUGCCAUGUCUGUGCCCUGCACAUGCCUGGAAACACACUCUUUCUUCACAGACAAAAAAGGCCAUUCAUAUCAGCUGUUUUGCUGUAAAAAGCUCCUUGUUUGGAGCAGUGGAGGCACGGUCUCUUUGCAGUGCCAUCAGCUCUCCAGGGAGAUACUGUCAUCCACUAUGGCCUGCACGGGACAUGGGGAGGUCCGGCCUAGUGCUGGCAUGGAGGGAAAAUCCUCGUCUUCACAAAUUUGUUCUUUUUUCACUAAUCACCCAGUCAAUCAAUUGAAAGAAAAUACUGCAAUAUUAGUAGGACAGCUAUUAUAUUCUGCAGAGGGACUUCAAGCCAGACAGCACAGGACUAGUUUGAUUUUACGCCAAUCACUCUUGGUGGAGAAAAAAAUGCAUCUGGGAUUCUGCAUCUCUAGCUGUCAGUAGUGCAGAAGCAAACCCUAGCAGAGCUUGUGCCAAACGUGUGCUGAGGAGCUCUGAGUUAGGAGGAAUGAUGUUCCAAAGAGAUAAUUUCAAUGAAGCUCUUCCUCUUUGUAUUUCAAAUAGUCACAGAUUUUUUUUUUUCUCACUCCAGCUAUUAUUUUGCAUCAUCCUUGCCAUAUGGAAGAAAGGAAUUAUGCUGUUCUGAUCUGCUGCCAUAAAAAUAUGAAAUGUUAUUUGUGUGAUCUUCAGAGCAGAUUAGAACUGGAAAUUUCCACUUUGGUGGGAUUUUCAACAUGUUGAAAUUAGUUUUCAUUUCAAUCUAGACAAGCUGCAAUAGUGUCAAGUUUUUCUAAAUUCAAGAAAUUCUCUCCCAAUCAGAUUUGUAAAAUACGUACAGGUUUCAUUAAUCUCUACAAACAAUGCUUUGGAGGAAGGUGUUCUACCAUCUAAAUUCUCAAAAUAUUCAGUGAGAGAGCACUCUCAGAUACCAUCAGCACUGGUCUUGCUUCUCCCUCUUGAUCACUGACUUUUGGAAGUAGAACAUGAAAAGUGCUUUUGGCACAUCCAACAUUAAAGCACAGUAGUGCAUGGAAUUUAAAAAAAAAAGAAAUAACAUGUUAGCUACAGGGAAAGGGUUAGCAUCUCUCCAGUGAUACAUGUCAUCUAUGAUCUGCUGUUCUGGAGCAGCAAGACAUGAUGAUAGAACAGUCAAUGUAUGGGUUACUACGCUAAGUGUCCGUUUUCCUGACAUUACAAGAUGACAUAUGAAUUUCCUUUACAGGAGGCUGGAUAUUCAUGGUGAUGGAAAUAUUAGAGACAGCACAGGUGCAACUGCCUCUGAUUUUCACUGUGGGUUUAGCAUCGUUCCACUAAGGCUACUAGGAAGAAGGCAGUAUCAGCUGUGAAUGACACAAGAACAACUGGGGAAGAGGAUGAGAAAACUGUGAAAGAAUUGCUGGGGGAGAUGCCUGGGGACAUUGGCAGUGUUUUGAGCCAGCUUCUGAAGAAAACCUGGAGAAGUCUUACUGGAGCUGAAGUUGCUGCAUGAAGGAUAGAGGGAAACAAGGGUGGAUCCUCUUCCCCACAGUGAUGCCAUGAUAAAGGAUGACCAAUAGCUGUAAGGAGAAAGAACAUAUAAGGGACAAGCCGAGAUAACACUUAGUAAGGGAUGGAAAAUGCCAGGCCUUCAUAUGGUCUACUGACUCCCUGGCCAAGAUGUGUCCUGCAGCUGAUGUAUAGCCCUAAGCAGGAAACAGCCAGGGCAUGCAUUUCAUGAGUGGGGUAUAUGAGGCGGUACUUCAUCUCCAGGCCUCAGUGGAGGACACAGAGCAGAGGCAAUAUCAUGAGGGGACGUAGCAGGCAUAGACAUGAUUUUUCAUCAUGCUUGUUUACAGUGCGGCAGCUCGACUGGACUUGCUUAUUUAUGUUGAACUGCACAGUGUGCAAGCACUCAGCAAAGAGGCAGGUAUCCAAAACCAAGGUGUUAGUACAGGCUGCAAAUCAAGAGCACGGUGAACUGAACAUGGUCACAAACAGGCUUUAAUAUUGCACUGCAGAACAGUAACUCCCACACUAAAUGAAGAAAAGGGUUAAAUUUGUAGACGGCUGGCUUUGCAUAGUCUGGCUAGGCCCACCACACUGAUAUUUAUAAACUCUCAGUGGAUGACUGAGAGCACCUCCAGGCCUGCUGAGGGCAGACUAGCUCUCUAGCAACACACUGCAGGUGAAUUUAAGGGUGUGGUAAUUGAGCUGGGCUUGGGUCACCCAGUAGCAGUCUGAACCCAGCCAGCCAUGCUAGGCAUAGCUCUACACUCCUGAACAAAGUGUUCCAUUAGGCCUGCUGGAGCCUGGGCAGCCUCCACUAGUCAGGCUUUCUCUUUCUGAAUUUUAUGCAAUGAAAAGAAUGGGAUAGGCAGGGCGUGCAAGGAGGAUUUUGUUCACUUCCAUAAAGAAUCCAGACUACAGCUAAGCAUCUGGAAACAUGCUUCUUGGGAUUUCAGUGUUGCAUCUAAAAUGCUAUGUUAUGACAGGGAGCAGAAGAAAAAAGGAUCAGUGACUUUGCAGAUGAAUGACCAACGUACUAACAUGACAAAAUGAGCUCUUGGUUUGCCAUAAAUACAUUAUCUAAGCUUUCAAGGGUUGAUCAGUAAGAAUGCAAAAUCUCUUUCAAAGGAUGUAGAUGAGAAGGAGGGGUACUCAUCAGAAUUAAAGAACAGCUUUUGCUAGACUGGUGUUCCUGGCAGGUUACACCUGCUUCCCACUCUGUGCCUUGCUGCCACUCUGUCUGGAGCAACGUGCUUCUAACAAUAGCUGGUAGCUGCAAGGUACAGAGUGUGCUACGCAGCUCGUUUCCUCUUCCUCCUGCCUGAUUGUUAUUGCAGAGCUCCCAGCAAGAAGGGCUCUUUAAUGCCAUUAAGUCACAAGAAACUGUGGCUUUGAUAGUGAGGAUCUGAUUUAAUGCAAUACCAAGUCAAAGAAAAACAUUUAAAGAGAGAAGAUGCCUUUCUCUAAGUGCUUUGUACUGUAAAGCUUCUGUAUAUACACAUACACUCACAUGCUCACACAUCCUGGAGGAGGUGCGUGUCCAGAAGGGAAAUCCUGCCUGCACCGGAGUUCAUGACAAAUGUUCCCACUGACCUUGGCAGGGCAGAGUUUCAGCCACUGUCUGUGUAUGUGGGGGACGGUGUGGAAGUGUUCAGGCAUGAUAUGUCUGUAUUUACUUGCUGUGAAGGACUGUGGGAGCCUGAACAUACUAGCAAUGUACCAAAAUACAAAUGGAGAGUAAGAGGUUGUCCCCAGGACAAGGCCCAGGAGCGUUGCCAUGCCUUCCUGCACCACAUGUGGUCUCCUGCAGCUUUGUCUGUAUGCAGGUUGUGGGAGCACCCUAGGCAGUGACCUUACUCACCAUCAGAGUCUUGGUGGGGUCUUGGCUUGCUUGCUUGUUUUUGGCUUGGUGACUUUUUUGUGUGUGAUGCUUUCUUGUUUGUCUUUUUAACACAUAUUGGGGUUAGUCUAAAAAUUGCUCAACUGCCUUCAUUCUUCUGCUCUCAAAAUAGAUAGGACAGUUUUUGAGGGCCAAUUAGAAGGGCCAGCUGGCCCUUGAAUAACCAUAAUCCUGCAUUCAGUGAUUUCACUCUGCUUGAUUUUACCUUCAGAUAUGUUUUCAGUGUGGCAGAAGGACAAGAAACCUACUUCUACAAGUAAUUUAGUGGUUAUGCACUUCAAAACUCCCAUUUUAAUGCUGAUUGUAAUUCUAUUCCACUGUUUUUUUCUAAAAUCUGUUUUGAAUUUGUGCACCUCUAAGCAUCAUUCAGUGAUAUUAUAGGUGGAAACAUAAGAUCCAGUAUAAUGAACACGAAUCCUGUUUUCCUGGAGACCUUUUAUAGAUCUACUGAAGGUAAUUCAGAGACUCACAGUUUAAAGACCUGCUUUAAUUUGUGUAGCUGUAAUGUGCCAAACUUGAGUGGCUAAUUUCGUAUCAGUCACUGAAUGCAGUGGGCCAGCCACAUGACUUCCUUAAUUUAAAAUGUGUUUUGUAUUUAUGGGUUCCUCCUGUUUGUAACUAUCAUUUUGUAACAGCUGCCCUGUGGUACAGCAAGCACCACAAAGCAGAAUCCCUAUGUCUGAAAGGCACUUCCUUCCCCCUUCAUCUUGACAGCACACAUCUGAGCCAAGGUUCCUCUGUGCAGAACCGGGUUGGUCCCAAUACUGGGGCUCUCACUCCUGCUGGAAAGCACUGCACAUCCAUGACUGAGACCAGAUUUGGGGCAGUAUGCCAAGUUCUUUUGAGGAUUUGGGCCUGGCUGUAAAUGUCACAGCUGGUGGCUUCCCACUGUUGAAAAUCUGCUGCAAUAUUAUGGAUGAUGAGCAUUUGGAAAAUCUGGUGCUGAAGACCAGCAGUCAAUAGGGUGAUGUAAAGGAGAGUGGGACAAGGCCCAGAGCUGCAGCACAGGAAAGCAGGAAUACAUUCAAAGUCAUAGACAUUGUCUGUGCAGGAUUCCAAAUACCUGGCAAAACCAAAGCAAAACAUGAGCAUUACUAAAAAACAUCAGGUAGACCUAUUUCUGCGUAGCAAGUAUAAAACCUUGAAUUACUUCCAAAAAAGAUCUGAAUUACCAUUACCAGUGCUCCUGCAGAAGCACUCUGAACUAAGAGCUUGAAGCCAGAGACUUCCAGUUACACUGGAAAAAUGCAUUCUCACUCCCAUGCGGAGUGGUGGCUCCUUGGACAUGUUCCACGUUUCACUGGAAGAGCUGGCAAUAUCGUAAAUUCCAGAAGAAAAGCUGCUGAACUGCUUUAAGAUUAUUUUAAAGAUGUGUACAAACUACUUUCAGAAAAUUAUGAUCACUGUUUUUUUUUGUUGUUGUGAAUCUUCACGUUUACUCUUCCUUACAUACUAUUUACCUUCUCCCUUUGGAGCACCGUUGUAUAUGGAAACCUGCUCAGCACAACACAUAAACAGCUGUGGUAAGCAGUCUAUAAAGAUGUAAAGAGCAGUUGUUGUCACUGUACUAACAAAGCAGAUUUUAUCAAAUUUGCCUUCAAACCAGGCUCUCAGCUGCUCCCAAGCAUAUCGAGAUGACCCCUACAUGUGUUAGCAAUAUGCUACAAUUACAUACAUGUGUUCCUACGUAGCCUAUUCCAGCACAGGUUUCUUUGUUCACAAUCACAUUAUGCAUGUGUUUGUUAUUCAUGUUUCUGCUUCCACAACUUUCCUUUGAUGUAAGUACAAUACAACUUUUUCAUCGUUAUUUGAAACAGAAACGUCGGGACAAAAGGAGCAUCAAAUAUAGGAAGUACUGAGUUACAUUUUGCCAGUGGUUUAUACCUUUUCUGUAUGUUAAAGUCAUCAAUAACAUAUUUUCAGAAGAAAAAUGAAUGACUUGACUUUUGUUCAGACUACAGGCUUAGCGUAAAGGUCAGACUGUGAUGCCGUGACACAGUGACUGCUCAAAGUCUGCCGCAGAGAGUUUGUGUCAGGGGCAGGAGCAGAUUCACAUUGUCUUUAGCAGUGCCAGAGACAUUUUUUUCUGAAGAGAACAUUAGCUUUUAAGUCUCCUGCAAGUCCUCUGAAAAAUAAAUAUACAUCUUUGGAAAGUGACUGGAAAGAUGCUUACAUGAGAGCUGGAAAAGAUGCUCAAUAUCAAUCUGUACUUUCCUCUUUAAGUGUUUCUGAGCCACAUCUUCACCUGCAAUUAACUCACAUGGCGUAUGAAGAUACACUCCUCUGUGCUUAACCUUUAAACAAAAUUUCUCUGAUUAUUGGCCUUCAUUCCCAGUGUGACUGUGAGAAACGAGCAGGGCAGAUGGGAGCAGGCGUUCCCAGUUGAUGCUACAGAACAUUUCUGUGAUGAUUUAAAGCUGUGUUAAACAAUAGCUUGUUCACAUUCAAUUUCAGAGCAUCCCAAGAUGCUGUAUGAGGCAGGGAAGAGAACUGAAAUUGCUUUUGCGGAGAUGCUAGGCAUAAUUAAAGGCUCAUGUCUAGAUCUUACAGCUAACAAACUGCUGUACAACAAGGGAAGCGGCUCCCUAAGUAGUUUUUUACAAAACACUAAAUAUACUAUUGUAACAAUAAAACCUAACCAUCCAGCUGCCAGCACACUGUGUGCGUGUGGCACUGUGGACAUCAUGUCCACCCCCUCCCCUCAAAUCCAUCCCCUUCUGCUGUUGGAAAAUAGCAAAAGUCCUACCAGGAGCUACUGAGAAGUUUAAUAAAAAUAAACUGGAGCUGCUUAAUCCACUUCUGCAAUCUGGCUGUACUUGUUCUGAAAAUCAGGACUGCACCUUUGGAAAAGUGCAGAUGUAAAUGUAAAGUGCAGAGUAAAGUGAGAAGCUGUGAGCACUGCCUUGCAGAAGGGCAGAAAAAAGGCCUCUCGCCGUCUCCCCUUUUGACAUGACAGAUAAAGGCAAAUGCGUGAAGGUCUUAAAGCCCCACUGCAGAGCAGGAAGAGGAAAACAAAUGGCACCACACCAUAUGCCCAUAAUCCCAACUAAAAGGCAUUCAAAUUCAUUUCUCCUCAGCUUCCCUUUUACACACCAGUGAACAAGUGUGUUUGACAACACAGUGUGGGAGUUUCCAGUUCAUUGAGCGGGUUUCCUUCACCUUUGCUCAGGCUUCCACCUGAAUGUCCUGCUCCCAACCACAAGAUGGAU
ensembl:lncRNA